CAGCGGUAGCUAAUAUAAAGCAUGGCACUGAAGAUGCUAAGAUGAGGACCUAAGAAACUCGCGGGCACC
rnacentral:tRNA from 1 species